rnacentral:tRNA from 1 species
GGAGGGGUGCCAGAGUGGACGAUUGGAGCGGUCUUGAAAACCGUCGCGGUGUCAAAGCCGCCGCGGGUUCGAAUCCCGCCCCCUCCGCCA